AUUGAACGCUGGCGGCAGGCCUAACACAUGCAAGUCGAGCGAGCGGCGGACGGGUGAGUACUUUCUGGGAAACUGCCUGAUGGAGGGGGAUAACUACUGGAAACGGUAGCUAAUACCGCAUACCAUCAGAUGUGCCCAGAUGGGAUUGGCUAGUAGGUGGGGUAACGGCUCACCUAGGCGACGAUCCCUAGCUGUUCUGAGAGGAGGACCAGCCACACUGGAACUGAGACACGGUCCAGACUGCUACGGGAGGAAGCAGGGGGGAACAUUGCACAAUGGGCGGGAGCCUGAUGCAGCCAUGCAGCGUGUGUGAAGAAGGCCUUCGGGUUGUAAAGCUCUUUCAGCGGGGAAGGGUUAACCGCAGAAGAAGCACCGGCUAAGUCCGUGCCAGCCGCCGCGGUAAUUC
rnacentral:rRNA from 1 species